AUUGAACGCUGGCGGCAGGCCUAACACAUGCAAGUCGAGCGGAUGAAGGGAGCUUGCUCCUGGAUUCAGCGGCGGACGGGUGAGUAAUGCCUAGGAAUCUGCCUGGUAGUGGGGGAUAACGUCCGGAAACGGGCGCUAAUACCGCAUACGUCCUGAGGGAGAAAGUGGGGGAUCUUCGGACCUCACGCUAUCAGAUGAGCCUAGGUCGGAUUAGCUAGUUGGUGGGGUAACGGCCUACCAAGGCGACGAUCCGUAACUGGUCUGAGAGGAUGAUCAGUCACACUGGAACUGGGACACGGUCCAGACUCCUACGGGAGGCAGCAGUGGGGAAUAUUGGACAAUGGGCGAAAGCCUGAUCCAGCCAUGCCGCGUGUGUGAAGAAGGUCUUCUGAUUGUAAAGCACUUUAAGUUGGGAGGAAGGGCAGUAAGUUAAUACCUUGCUGUUUUGACGUUACCAACAGAAUAAGCACCGGCUAACUUCGUG
rnacentral:rRNA from 1 species